rnacentral:rRNA from 1 species
CACGUAGGGGGCAAGCGUUGUCCGGAUUUAUUGGGCGUAAAGAGCUCGUAGGCGGUUCGGUAAGUCAGAUGUGAAAACCCAGGGCUCAACCCUGGGAAGCCAUCUGAUACUGCCGUGACUAGAGUCCGGUAGGGGAGCGUGGAAUUCCUGGUGUAGCGGUGAAAUGCGCAGAUAUCAGGAGGAACACCAGCGGCGAAGGCGGCGCUCUGGGCCGGUACUGACGCUGAGGAGCGAAAGCGUGGGGGGCGAACAGG